rnacentral:rRNA from 1 species
UACGUAGGGUGCAAGCGUUGUCCGGAAUUAUUGGGCGUAAAGAGCUCGUAGGCGGUCUGUCGCGUCUGCUGUGAAAACUCAGGGCUUAACCCUGAGCUUGCAGUGGGUACGGGCAGACUAGAGUGCGGUAGGGGAGACUGGAAUUCCUGGUGUAGCGGUGAAAUGCGCAGAUAUCAGGAGGAACACCGGUGGCGAAGGCGGGUCUCUGGGCCGUAACUGACGCUGAGGAGCGAAAGCAUGGGUAGCGAACAGG